CUCGCCAGGUGCGCGGCUGUCAAUCAUUUCUUGUCACGUGUUUCUUUCCCUGGCUGUAAACAAAUGGACGCGGCAACGCUCCGCGGACAAAAGAUGCAAAAUGUGACUCGGCGGCGCCGAGGGGACGCGCGAAGAUGCCGGCAAACAAGAGACGAUUUAAUGUCCGUUUGGCACCGGCUCGCAUCAAAAAGAUCAUGCAGAAGAACGCAGAGGUAGGAAGGAUUGCCAUGGCAGUACCUGUGAUCAUUUCUCGACUUCUUGAGAUGUUCCUCAAGUCUCUUCUCACCAAAACCUAUUUGAUCACCAAAUCCAACCUCAGCAGCGUCGUGUCCCUCGUGCACGUAAAGCAGUGCAUCGAGUCGGAGAAACUCUUCCACUUCCUGAAGGACAUGACGGCAAGAUUCUCAUUCCCGAGCGCAUCGAAAGGCAACAGAGGCCUGAGUGUGUGGCCAUCGUACAUGCCCAAACGACCCGAAGUGUGCAUACAGAAAAGUGUGAAAGCAGAAGUCACGGCGCGGCAAAGCCUGGACUCGCUUGGCAACGACUCCAUCGCCAGUGUAAAUAAGCUACUAAGUGAAACUGCCUUCAUGUUUCUCUUUUUUUUUUCUUGAGGGCACUACCAAGCCUAAAGGAUGUCUGACGAAACGCCAGACUUCAAAUCUUGUGUUGCUAAACUGAAAACGGAGACGGAGCUCUUCAUCUGCUUGUGAGCGUCCUGCUUCCUUUUAGCUUCUUUUGGACAAGAAACGAAGACUCAUGCAUAUAUUAAGAGCGGUAAAACAUACCUUUUGAUGGGGUGGAAAAAGUAGCAAACGUUAUGUUUGGGAUGAAUUUUUGUUAACUAUUUUCAUUUUUGUACAUUUGCAGGUGUUGCUGAGGUCGAUUGUUUUGUGUUUUCAGGCCUUUCUAGGCGUUUGCACAUAGGAGGUUUGCGUUUUUGGAGCGUUUAAUUUUUAAAGAACCUAUAAAUUAACGUUUUUAAACCAUCAAACCUUUUUGUGUGUGCAAAAACAUGUUCAACUCCAUUGUGGAAGAUGCGCUUAAACGACAAUAAAUAACAAUCAAUCGAAGCAAACUGAUUGGUUUCAUUCUGAUCAAUUUCGAGGCCGUGUCAUAGUUUUGAAACUGUUUUGGGGGAAAUUUUGAGUUGUCAUUUAAAUGUCAAUUCAAAUAAAAAACACAGAAAGCGGACGCAGUGAUUGGUUUAUUCCAAUAGUUUGCCAUCACAACGUCAGCAUGAAAAGAUAUAAAUAGAUUAACCCCGCGGUGGCAGCGGGAAUGUUUCCGUCUGCUACGCUCUCUUCCCGCAUCAUGCCUCCAUGAAAGCUGGGACAUUAUGCAAGUGGCCGCGGCUAUGAGGAUCAACAUGCACCGGCGCUACGCUCCUACAAAAAGAAACUUUUUCCAGAGCUGCUUGUUUGCUUAAAUAAAUGCAACGUUGGUUCUUUUGCUAAGAGACGUGGAGGCCAAUUUGCUUGAGUGGUUCUCGUGAGGUUCCUCUUAACAACAAAUACUCGAU